CACCGCGAAAAAUUGCAUACGCGUAUAACUCCGUAGAUAAGGUACGGGGGGCUCUACCGGAAACCGUAAAGUUCCGAUUACAAACAAAUGCAUGCCUGGC
rnacentral:ncRNA from 2 species